UACGUAGGGAGCAAGCGUUGUCCGGAAUCAUUGGGCGUAAAGCGCGCGUAGGCGGCCCUGUAAGUCCGCUGUGAAAGUCAAAGGCUCAACCUUUGAAAGCCGGUGGAUACUGCAGGGCUAGAGUCCGGAAGAGGCGAGUGGAAUUCCUGGUGUAGCGGUGGAAUGCGCAGAUAUCAGGAAGAACACCCGUGGCGAAAGCGGCUCUCUGGAACGGUACUGACGCUGAGACGCGAAAGCGUGGGGAGCGAACAGG
rnacentral:rRNA from 1 species